GCUUCGUUCAUUGAAGGCCGAGGCCUGCGACUCGUCGGCGCCCGUCCAGCUGGACGUGUCCUGGUACCUGAGGAACUCCCACUGCUACGGAGAAGUCUUCGGCCUGGACGCGGAUGGGGCAAAGAAUUACUUCAACUCGACGAUGGUCACCCAGGGAGGAGGAAGUGGAUAUUAUGUUGUUCACAAAUAUCGUCCAAUCAAAUGUGAGCCGCACAUCAGCCCCCAAACGUUCGGCCUGGAUGAAUUUGAAGUGAAAACGCGACUUACUGAAUUGCCGCAGGAACAGCCAAUCACAGAGAAGAAUUCAGCAAGCAGGACGAGGAGAGAUGCGGACGCUCCAAAAAUCAAGGUGUGCACAUCCA